rnacentral:rRNA from 1 species
CCUACGGGAGGCAGCAGUGAGGAAUAUUGGUCAAUGGACGAGAGUCUGAACCAGCCAAGUAGCGUGAAGGCUGACUGCCCUAUGGGUUGUAAACUUCUUUUAUAUGGGAAUAAAACGUUCCAAGUGUGGGAUUUUGUAUGUACCAUAUGAAUAAGGAUCGGCUAACUCCGUGCCAGCAGCCGCGGUAAUACGGAGGAUCCGAGCGUUAUCCGGAUUUAUUGGGUUUAAAGGGAGCGUAGGUGGAUUGUUAAGUCAGUUGUGAAAGUUUGCGGCUCAACCGUAAAAUUGCAGUUGAAACUGGCAGUCUUGAGUACAGUAGAGGUGGGCGGAAUUCGUGGUGUAGCGGUGAAAUGCUUAGAUAUCACGAAGAACUCCGAUUGCGAAGGCAGUUCACUGGACUGCAACUGACACUGAGGCUCGAAAGUGUGGGUAUCAAACAGGAGUAGAUACCCGGGUAGUC